rnacentral:misc_RNA from 1 species
ACUAGACAAGUUCUCCUUAACUAAAGACAGUAUUCUUACGCUAAAGUUGAUCCAUGUUCUGUCGGUGAGGCAGAGCCGAAGUUAAUUAGAGUCGAGAGGUAGAGUCGAGGUUAAUUAACCCACGAAGAAGAAGAAUUAGCCGAACAACGAAAUUACUAAUGAACGUUGAUUGCCGAUCAGGAUGGAAUCAGUGUAUGUUAAGACGAAGAGAGAGACGCGCAGGCCAAACAGUAGAACAAGUUUUGUUUCGUGGAAUGUGAAGGAAGCAAAGAAAUGUUCAGCACUGGUUAAAUUUCUAAUCCUCACUAUCGCUCUACUGAUAGUAUGUUGCCUUGUCUUACUGAAUCUGUACUUGAGGGAGCACGCACGAAAUCUCACCGCUGAGGCUGUAGAGAAACCAGAGACAACAACUACAAGGAUACCUGAACACGAAAAAUAUCAUGGCGGUAUGUGUUGGACAACAGACUGUCUACAUGCGGUAUCAGACUUGCUGAAUUCAGUUGACCCUUCAGUGGACCCUUGUACGGAUUUCUAUCAGUACGCUUGUGGAGGAUGGAUGAAGAAGAACCCGAGGCCACUUACAUCUAGAAAAUGGGAUCAGUUUGAGAAACUGACUGCAGAAAACAAUGAAGUGCUCGAGAGACUACUUAAAAAUAAAGAACUGAAAGCUAAAUACUCUAAGGAGGAGGCGGUUUGGAAGGCUCUGGCAUAUUAUGAUUCGUGCAUGGAUGUUGCCGCGAUCGAGCGACUGAAGGGCGAACCCCUUGAGUUGCUUAUCAAGGAAUAUGGCUCGUGGAGCAUCACAGAUACUAACUGGGAAGAAGAAGAAUGGGACUUGAUAUCUCAUCUUGCGAGGAUUCAUAAAGAUUUAGUUGUACCAGUUUUGUUUUCCAUGACUGUUUCGAUUGAUAACAAAAACAGCUCACACAAUGCAAUUACGUUUGGAGAGUCCUACACCUCACUGUCACGACGAGAACUUCUUACAAAUGACUCAGAGAGCCAGCGGGUUCGUAAUGCAUAUAGAGAUUUGAUGAGGAAUUUGACCAUCAAACUUGGAGCUGGGGAAGAUUCAGAAGAUGAUCUGUUAAAGACGUUUGAGUUCGAGAAAGAGCUGGCAAAGAUAUCUACCCCAAGAUCUAGACGACCAUCCUUUGAAGAAGCUUACAAGAAGCUCACGUUAUUAGAAAUACAGGAGUAUACCGGUGACUUCUUCAACUGGACGAAAUAUGUGCAAGUAGCGAUGGAGGAUAAUACAUUUCAUGUUAACAGCCAAACCAAAGCCGUGGUCUAUUCUUUGGAAUAUUUAAAAAGACUGGUCAAACUCCUGAGCAUUACACCCAAAAGAACUAUUGCUAACUAUAUGAUGUGGAGAGUGGUCAAGUUAAAGUUUCUACAACUAAGCAGCGAUUUUGUCGAAUUGUUCAAAUAUUAUUACCUCCAAGCUUUCAAUUACUGGAGUGACUCGGACCAGCAUCAGCUCUGUCUCAUGGCAACUUCACAGAAAUUUGGAAUACCCCUUUCGAAAGUCUUCCUUGAUCAAAAGUUCUUUGGUGACAGCAAGGAAUUGGCAAAGGACAUCAUUGGAAACAUCCGCGCGGCAUUCAUCUCCAACAUUGGAAAACAAGACUGGAUGGAUGAAAAAACACAGAAGGUGGCCGUAGAGAAGGCGGAGGCUCUAAUCGAAAACGUAGGAUAUCCUGAUUACAUAAUGGACGUUGAAUAUAUGACCCAAAGAUAUAAAGAGGUAACCAUAGACGCAAAAACAUAUUUCAACAAUGAUGUUUCAGUUACAAAGCGUCAGAAUAUCGACAAACUUGCAAAAGCUGGAACAGCCGUGGACAAGACUGAAUGGCCUUUUCCGCCAACAAUGCUUAAUGCAUUUUACGCCUACAACGAGAAUAAGAUGGUCUUUCCGGCUGCUAUUCUGCAACCACCAUUUUAUAACCUGUUGUAUCCAAGAGCAAUGAACUAUGGUGCUAUUGGAGGAGUCAUGGCCCAUGAAAUUACCCACGGAUUUGAUGAUACAGGAAAGCUUUACGACAUUGACGGUAAUAGAAGAAGAUGGUGGAGUAACUCAACCCUCGCUAACUUUCAAGAAAGGUCUCGUUGUUUGGUCGAUCAGUACUCGAAUUAUACAUUUUAUGGGAACCAGGUGAAUGGCGAGAAUACUUUGUCAGAAAACAUAGCUGAUAAUGGUGGUGUUCGCGUAGCUUUUGAGGCAUACCGGAAGUGGGUUAGGGACCAUUGGGAGGAACCUAGGCUUCCUGAACUGGUGUAGCCAUUACAGCGAUAGAGCUGCUCGUGUAGCAACGAAAUACUUCGAUCAUAGUCCCAUGCCAUGGAGGGUGAAUGGUACUCUCAUUAAUUUCCCGGAGUUUUCAAAGGCGUUCAAUUGCCCUAUGGGUUCACCAAUGAAUCCUG